AAUCAGCAGUAACAGUUGCAACAAAAGCUGGUUACAAACAAUCCAUAGAAACAGGACAUGAAGCUAGACAACCGGUUAGACCAGAAAUUCUCAGAAGGGAGUAUGCCUUAACCCUCAAGAGGCCUAGAAGAGCCGUGGCAAGAUGAGGGCAUUUAUAGCCCUAUCUUAUCCAUAUGGACAGGCACCCCCCAUGCAUCCGUUUAUAGGCUCUCCACAAAGGUCGCAUUCCAUUCCUAGAGCUAUGAACAUCUGCUUUUCUGGGAUAGGAAUCUUGAUGAUGUGAAACCUCCCUGACUGCACGUCCAUUCAUAGGCUCUCUGCAGGGGGAAGCACAUCACAUGCUGUUGGCUCAUUCUGGCAGUCCAACCUGGCAUUGUCUUUACACAAUCCUGCAUGCAAUUUUUUAUUUACAAUAAUCAGGAGCAUUUCAUCUUUUAUUCCAUAGCAAUAGUUUCAGGGGGUCUCCCUACAUCUCCCCCUUUUCUCUGAUUUAAAUGAACCAUAGCAAUCAUAGCUUGGUGCUGAUCACAAUUGGAUUGAAGAAUAUUUUUUCCAAUUUUACACAUGAACAAUAAACCAAUAGCACAAAUUAUAUACAAAACAAAAUUAACGAUAGUGGAUCCUCCCAAAGAUUUUACCUAUUGAAUGGGGUUGAGAUUAGAUAAUCCCUCAGAGAUACCACCUAAAACUUCAGCACCAGGUAAAGCAGUUAAGUGUGCUUGUGAGGCCUCAAAAAUCUGUUCUUUUAGCUUGCUUAUGUCUAAACUUAAAUUAUCUUCACUUCCUUGUAAAUGACAGUUUACUGAUUCCCUAUUGUAAACAGACUCAUUUUAUUGAAACGGAGUUGUACAAAAAUUAGAAGUAUUCCAAUCACAUUGCAUUUGUAAUCUAUGUUCUAAACUCAUAAUUUUAUCUCCCAUCCAUGUAACAGUUUGUCUUAGGUCAUUAAUUUGGUUAGCCAAUUUUUUAUCAAUACCUGACUGAGAAUUCCAUAUCUGAGUAGAAUUUUUUUGCCAUUUAUCCACAAAAUGAACAGUUUGAAUAGAUUGAUGUAAUGCAACUCCAGCAGUAGCAGCAGUCGCAGUUACAGCAAUCAAGCCCAUUAUUAUUGCAAUUAAUGUAAAAAUAAAUCAUUUACUCCUUUUAAGAAUUUUCUGUAGAAUAUUGUUAAUAACAUGGAUAGAGGGGGAAGAUUCCCAAGGCCCAUGUAAGGCUACAGGGAGCCAAAUACCUUCUCUGGCUCUGACUAUUAAAAUACUAUGAUAUUGAUUAAAGGAUGAGUCAAUACAAAUACACAAGUAACAAUUAACACAGGUAAUUAUGUUGGUUUCUGAACUAUCAUGCAUCUUUCCUACUAAUAACGUAUAUGGUAGUUUAACACAACUUUUAAGUGAUAUAGUUUUGUUGGACUCCAUAUAGAUAGUAUAUAUAUUUUGAGGUGACAAGGUGGAUUUACUUAUAACACUUUCUCCAGCCCAAACUCUCAUACCAGUCAUAGCUAUUGUUAAUCUCCAUAAUUCUGAAUGUUCAGGUUCUAAGUGCAGAACAAUGAGCCUUGGCUUUGGAGGGGCAACCCCUGCCCCUUUCCACUUAAGAGGAAAAAAGGAGUUAAAUCUACGAUAUAACAGGGGAGGGUUGUCACUACUUUUUUGAUAAGUAAUAUCAUAGAGAAAAUGUUGACAAUCUUUGUGACCUUGAGAGCAAUCAUUAGUAAUAUGACCUUUGGGAGCCCAGUCAACAAUGGUGUACUGAGAAGAAUUAAAUAACACAGUUCCUUCUGAGCUAACACAAUCUUUCCAUAUUAAUUUGUCAGCAUUUGAAGACAAGUUGAGAGAUCAUGCAGGUCCUAAAGGCUUAUAUUGGGUUGUGUGAAUAUAUUCAGUGAUUUCUGUUUUGAUCUGCCUUAGAGGUUUUAAUGAGAGCCCUGAUACCAAGUGUCCCAAAGGAGGGACAGAGUGACCAGAUGGUAGUGUGACCGCCCAAGUUUGAAUAUCUAAUGAGAGACAUCCAUUAGUGGGUCCCAGGCACAAAGGUGGACACCUAAAACCUAAAGUGAUAUUGAAAGGGAUUCCUUCUUCUGAAGGUUGGGCAGGACAACGAUCAUCUACAGAACCAGGCAUCCAAAUACUAUCAUUAACAUAGACCUCGAUAGGAGCGUCCAUCUAUGUCAUGGCUCGAAUAAGAGGAGGAAAAGGAAUAUAGGCCCAAUGUGUAUAGUUUUUAACAGUCUGUGGGGCAACAGAGGGUAGAAGGAUCAGUGUCAUCAGGAGGAGGCAGAGGUUGAGCCAGACCUGGAUCUCUGGAGACAAGUUGUUCAGGAAGGCUGACUGGAUUGUCUGUUGUAAAGGAGUUAGCGUGGUCAUUUUCUUCUUUUUGACGAUUGGAUGUGUUAGUUGUUUCUUGCUGUGGUGCUUUUUCAGCAAAUUUCUCUGUCUCGUUGUUGUAUGCAUUUUCAGGACACAAUUUCAUGUGUCUAGCAGGAAUCCAAACAGGAGAUUGAUACUCACCAUUUACUGGUAGUAUGACUUUGAACAAGGUCAAAUUUUUCUCUCUGAGCUUUGAUGUCCUCAUCCAUAAGAAUCAGAUUAAUAACAAAUGUUUGGAGGCUGCUAUGGAAAUUAGAUGAGAUGACAAGUAAAACCAAAUCUUGCCGAGUGCCUGGUAUGUGGCAGGGACUGCAUUGAGGUUGACCGAUUUCCUUCUUGAAAAAUAGGACUAUCUUAUUUUUCUUUAGAAGCUGCUUAUCUGGUGGUCCCCAGACUUGAAGAUUUCAGGCACCAACAGUGUUUCUUCUUUGUCUAUUAGUUUCUUAGGGCUGCCGUAGCAAAGCGCCACAAACUGGGUGGCUUAAGCAACAGACAUCUAUUGUCUCCCAGUUCUGUAGCCUGGAAGUGUGAAACUGAUGUGUCAGCAGGGUUGGUUCCUUCUGAAGGCAGUGAGAGAGAAUCUGUUCCAUGCCUCUC
rnacentral:lncRNA from 10 species